GAUGAACGCUGGCGGCGUGCUUAACACAUGCAAGUCGAACGGAAAGGCCCAAGCUUGCUUGGGUACUCGAGUGGCGAACGGGUGAGUAACACGUGGGUGAUCUGCCCUGCACUUCGGGAUAAGCCUGGGAAACUGGGUCUAAUACCGGAUAGGACCACUUCUUGGAUGUUGUGGUGGAAAGUUUUUUCGGUGUGGGCUGAGCUCGCGGCCUAUCAGCGUGUUGGUGGGGUAAUGGCCUACCAAGGCGUCGACGGGUAGCCGGCCUGAGAGGGUGUACGGCCACCUUGGGACUGAGAUACGGCCCAGACUCCUACGGGAGGCAGCAGUGGGGAAUAUUGCCCGAUGGGCGCAAGCCUGAUGCAGCGACGCCGCGUGGGGGAGGACGGCCUUCGGGUUGUAAACUCCUUUCGCUAGGGACGAAGCGUUUUGUGACGGUACCUGGAGAAGAAGCACCGGCUAACUACGUG
rnacentral:rRNA from 1 species